UUAAGUUGGAAUUGUCGCGGCGCGGGGAACACCACGACUGUUGGUGAGCUAGUUUCCCUGGUUAAAAUCAACAAUCCUAGCAUUGUUUUUCUUUGUGAAACUUGCCAGAAAAAAGAAAAAAUGCAUCGCCUGCGGAAUAGGUUGGGUCUUCGUGGUUUCGAAGGAGUUAGUAGUGAUGGCCUUAGUGGAGGUCUUGCUAUGUAUUGGCAUGAGAGUCUGUCAAUUGAAAUAAAAUCUAGCUGCAGCAGGUACAUCGAUGCCUAUGUUCAUGAUGGGAUGGAUAAAACCCCGUGGCGAUUGACAUGUGUUUACGGUGAGCCAAGAACAGAGAAUCGACACUACAUGUGGGAGACUAUCCAAAAACUGCGAGCUGAAUCUGAUUUGCCGUGGCUCCUGAUAGGGGACUUUAACGAGGUGUUGUGGCAGCUCGAGCACUUCUCAGCCACACCUCGCCCUGAAGCUCAAAUGGCGGCCUUCCGCGAAGUUCUCUCCGUAUGUUCUUUAACAGACUUGGGGUUUGCAGGCAUACCCUAUACUUAUGAUAACGGAAGACAAGUCAAAGCAAAUGUACGUGUUCGGCUGGACCGUGCACUCGCUGAUGACUCAUGGCGUGACAUUUUCUCGGAUGGGCAGACUGUCCAUCUAGUCUCACCGGCCUCUGAUCAUUGCCCCAUACUAGUCAAGCUCCUGCAGGAGUCU
rnacentral:rRNA from 1 species